rnacentral:rRNA from 1 species
CGAAGGUAGCAUAAUCAGUAGUUUUUUAAUUGAAAACUUGUAUGAAUGGUUUUACGAAAUAUUAGCUGUUUCUAAAAAAUUAAUUGAAUUUUAUAUUUUAGUAAAAAAGCUAAAAUUAUAUUAAAAGACGAGAAGACCCUAUAGAUUUUUAUAAAAUUAUUAUUUUUAUUUUUAUAAUAUUUUUAAAAUUUAAGUUUAUGUUUUAUUUUAUUGGGGUGAUAGUAAAAUAUAUUAAUCUUUUAUUUAAUUUAUUCAUAAAUUAAUGAAUUAUUGAUCCAAUUAUUUUGAUUAAAAGAUUAAAUUACCUUAGGGAUAACAGCGUUAUUUUUUUGAAGAGUUCAAAUCGAUAAAAAAUUUUGC